CAAACUAAGCUUCAUAAGCGAAGGAGAAAUAAAAUACUUUACAGACAAGCAAAUGCUGACCGAUUUUGUCACCACCAGGCCUGCCCUAAAAAAGCUCCUGAAGGAAGCGCUAAACAUGGAAAGGAACAACUGGUACCAGCCGCUGCAAAAUCAUGCCAAAAUGUAAAGACCAUCGAGACUAGGAAGAAACUGCAUCAACUAACGAGCAAAAUCACCAGCUAACAUCAUAAUGACAGGAUCAAAUUCACACAUAACAAUAUUAACUUUAAAUGUAAAUGGACUAAAUUCUCCAAUCAAAAGACACAGACUGGCAAGUUGGAUAAAGAGUCAAGACCCAUCAGUGUGCUAUAUUCAGGAAACCCAUCUCACGUGCAGAGACACACAUAGGCUCAAAAUAAAAGGAUGGAGGAAGAUCUACCAAGCCAAUGGAAAACAACAAAAGGCAGGGGUUGCAAUCCUAGUCUCUGAUAAAACAGACUUUAAACCAACAAAGAUCAAAAGAGACAAAGAAGGCCAUUACAUAAUGGUAAAGGGAUCAAUUCAACAAGAGGAGCUAACUAUCCUAAAUAUAUAUGCACCCAAUACAGGAGCACCCAGAUUCAUAAAGCAAGUCCUGAGUGACCUACAAAGAGACUUAGACUCCCACACAUUAAUAAUGGGAGACUUUAACACCCCACUGUCAACAUUAGACAGAUCAACGAGACAGAAAGUCAACAAGGAUACCCAGGAAUUGAACUCAGCUCUGCACCAAACGGACCUAAUAGACAUCUACAGAACUCUCCACCCCAAAUCAACAGAAUAUACAUUUUUUUCAGCACCACACCACACCUAUUCCAAAAUUGACCACAUACUUGGAAGUAAAGCUCUCCUCAGCAAAUGUAAAAGAACAGAAAUUAUAACAAACUAUCUCUCAGACCACAGUGCAAUCAAACUAGAACUCAGGAUUAAGAAUCUCACUCAAAGCCGCUCAACUACAUGGAAACUGAACAACCUGCUCCUGAAUGACUACUGGGUACAUAACGAAAUGAAGGCACAAAUAAAGAUGUUCUUUGAAACUUACGAGAACAAAGACACAACAUACCAGAAUCUCUGGGACGCAUUCAAAGCAGUGUCUAGAGGGAAAUUUAUAGCACUAAAUGCCCACAAGAGAAAGCAGGAAAGAUCCAAAAUUGACACCCUAACAUCACAAUUAAAAGAACUAGAAAAGCAAGAGCAAACACAUUCAAAAGCUAGCAGAAGGCAAGAAAUAACUAAAAUCAGGGCAGAACUGAAGGAAAUAGAGACACAAAAAACCCUUCAAAAAAUCAAUGAAUCCAGGAACUGGUUUUUUGAAAGGAUCAACAAAAUUGAUAGACCGCUAGCAAGACUAAUAAAGAAAAAAAGAGAGAAGAAUCAAAUAGACACAAUAAAAAAUGAUAAAGGGGAUAUCACCACCGAUCCCACAGAAAUACAAACUACCAUCAGAGAAUACUACAAACACCUCUACGCAAAUAAACUAGAAAAUCUAGAAGAAAUGGAUACAUUCCUCGACACAUACACUCUCCCAAGACUAAACCAGGAAGAAGUUGAAUCUCUGAAUAGACCAAUAACAGGAGCUGAAAUUGUGGCAAUAAUCAAUAGCUUACCAACCAAAAAGAGUCCAGGACCAGAUGGAUUCACAGCCGAAUUCUACCAGAGGUACAAGGAGGAACUGGUACCAUUCCUUCUGAAACUAUUCCAAUAAGUAGAAAAAGAGGGAAUCCUCCCUAACUCAUUUUAUGAGGCCAGCAUCAUUCUGAUACCAAAGCCGGGCAGAGACACAACCAAAAAAGAGAAUUUUAGACCAAUAUCCUUGAUGAACACUGAUGCAAAAAUCCUCAAUAAAAUACUGGCAAACCGAAUCCAGCAGCACAUCAAAAAGCUUAUCCACCAUGAUCAAGUGGGCUUCAUCCCUGGGAUGCAAGGCUGGUUCAAUAUACGCAAAUCAAUAAAUGUAAUCCAACAUAUAAACAGAGCCAAAGACAAAAACCACAUGAUUAUCUUAAUAGAUGCAGAAAAAGCCUUUGACAAAAUUCAACAACCCUUCAUGCUAAAAACUCUCAGUAAAUUAGGUACUGAUGGGACGUAUCUCAAAAUAAUAAGAGCUAUCUAUGACAAACCCACAGCCAAUAUCAUACUGAAUGGGCAAAAACUGGAAGCAUUCCCUUUGAAAACUGGCACAAGACAGGGAUGCCCUCUCUCACCGCUCCUAUUCAACAUAGGGUUGGAAGAUCUGGCCAGGGCAAUCAGGCAGGAGAAGGAAAUAAAGGGUAUUCAAUUAGGAAAAGAGGAAGUCAAAUUGUCCCUGUUUGCAGACGACAUGAUUGUUUAUCUAGAAAACCCCAUUGUCUCAGCCCAAAAUCUCCUUAAGCUGAUAAGCAACUUCAGCAAAGUCUCAGGAUACAAAAUCAAUGUACAAAAAUCACAAGCAUUCCUAUACACCAACAACAGACAAACAGAGAGCCAAAUCAUGAGUGAACUCCCAUUCACAAUUGCUUCAAAAAGAAUAAAAUACCUAGGAAUCCAACUUACAAGGGAUGUGAAGGACCUCUUCAAGGAGAACUACAAACCACUGCUCAAGGAAAUCAAAGAGGAUACAAACAAAUGGAAGAACAUUCCAUGCUCAUGGGUAGGAAGAAUCAAUAUCGUGAAAAUGGCCAUACUGCCCAAGGUAAUUUGCAGAUUCAAUGCCAUCCCCAUCAAGCUACCAAUGACUUUCUUCACAGAAUUGGAAAAAACUACUUUAAAUUUCAUAUGGAACCAAAAAAGAGCCCGCAUCGCCAAGUCAAUCCUAAGCCAAAAGAACAAAGCUGGAGGCAUCACACUACCUGACUUCAAACUAUACUACAAGGCUACAGUAACCAAAACAGCAUAGUACUGGUACCAAAACAGAGAUAUAGAUCAAUGGAACGAACAGAGCCCUCAGAAAUAACGCCGCAUACCUACAACUAUCUGAUCUUUGACAAACCUGAGAAAAACAAGCAAUGGGGAAAGGAUUCCCUAUUUCAUAAAUGGUGCUGGGAAAACUGGCUAGCCGUAUGUAGAAAGCUGAAACUGGAUCCCUUCCUUACACCUUAUACAAAAAUCAAUUCAAGAUGGAUUAAAGAUUUAAACAUUAGACCUAAAACCAUAAAAACUCUAGAAGAAAACCUAGGCAUUACCAUUCAGGACAUAGGCGUUGGCAAGGACUUCAUGUCCAAAGCACCAAAAGCAAUGGCAACAAAAGCCAAAAUUGACAAAUGGGAUCUAAUUAAACUAAAGAGCUUCUGCACAGCAAAAGAAA
rnacentral:lncRNA from 1 species